rnacentral:rRNA from 1 species
CCUACGGGGGGCAGCAGUGAGGAAUAUUGGUCAAUGGACGAGAGUCUGAACCAGCCAAGUAGCGUGAAGGAUGACUGCCCUAUGGGUUGUAAACUUCUUUUAUAUGGGAAUAAAAUGUUCCACGUGUGGGAUUUUGUAUGUACCUUAUGAAUAAGGAUCGGCUAACUCCGUGCCAGCAGCCGCGGUAAUACGGAGGAUCCGAGCGUUAUCCGGAUUUAUUGGGUUUAAAGGGUGCGUAGGUGGAUUGUUAAGUCAGUUGUGAAAGUUUGGGGCUCAACCGUAAAAUUGCAGUUGAAACUGGCAGUCGUGAGUACAGUAGAGGUGGGCGGAAUGCGUGGUGUAGCGGUGAAAUGCUUAGAGAUCACGAAGAACUCCGAGUGCGAAGGCAGCUCACUGGACUGCAACUGACACUGAGGCUCGAAAGUGUGGGUAUCAAACAGGAUUAGAUACCCGGGUAGUC